rnacentral:rRNA from 1 species
UACGUAGGGUGCGAGCGUUGUCCGGAAUUACUGGGCGUAAAGAGCUCGUAGGUGGUUUGUCGCGUUGUUCGUGAAAACUCACAGCUUAACUGUGGGCGUGCGGGCGAUACGGGCAGACUGGAGUACUGCAGGGGAGACUGGAAUUCCUGGUGUAGCGGUGGAAUGCGCAGAUAUCAGGAGGAACACCGAUGGCGAAGGCAGUUCUCUGGGCCGUAACUGACGCUGAGGAGCGAAAGCGUGGGGAGCGAACAGG